CGGGAAGAGCUCAAAUUUAAAAUCUGGCAGCCUUGUGUUGUCCGAGUUGUAGUCUAGAGAAGCAUCAUCCGUGCUGGACCAUGUACAAGUCUCUUGGAACAGAGCGUCAUAGAGGGUGAGAAUCCCGU
rnacentral:rRNA from 1 species